rnacentral:rRNA from 1 species
GAUCAUGGCUCAGGAUGAACGCUAGCUACAGGCUUAACACAUGCAAGUCGAGGGGAAACGACAUCGAAAGCUUGUCUUUUGAUGGGCGUCGACCGGCGCACGGGUGAGUAACGCGUAUCCAACCUGCCCACCACUUGGGGAUAACCUUGCGAAAGUAAGACUAAUGCCCAAUGAUAUCCCACGAAGGCAUCCGAAUGGGAUUAAAGAUUUAUCGGUGAUGGAUGGGGAUGCGU